UGGCAUUGAAAGGAGUGGCCAGCCAGUAAUCAAUGUAUGAGGAUGGCCAGGCUAACAAUGCCAUUGAUGGCAACAGAGAAUCAAACUAUCACAAAAUAUCCUGCACACACACUGAACAGGAGACCAACCCCUGGUGGAGAGUGGACCUGCUGGAUCUGUACAGAGUGACAGCUGUCACCAUCACCAACAGAGGAGAUGUUGUUCCUGAGAGACUUGAUGGUGAUACAUAGACAUCUGUGGAAUUAUGUGUUGUCAUCUCCCACAUCCCAGCAGGAGAGACCAACACGUUCCAGUGUAAUGAGAUGGACGGUCGCUAUGUUGUUGUUGUGAUCCCUGGACAGAACAAGAUUCUCACUCUGUGUGAGGUGGAAGUUUACGGCCUUCCUGCAGGUAUCAUCAGGGUUUCUACCACGUAAUUGCUGAACACAUCGCAUGUGACAUCACAGGAUCCAUCUUGUUGUGAAAUAAGUAGGACAAGUGUUGUUGCCAAAGUUAGAAUGAACUCACUGUCACUCAAUUUUUUUGUAUUUUUUUUAUAGCUUUUUCUACUAUUUCUGCUAUUUUUUCAUAUAAGUGUGUCCUGUAUUCAUGACGUCCUCAUUGGCCCGAUACUUCCCCAACAAGUUACACCCACAUCAAACUACACCCCCAAGCCAACUCAAGUUUGGUUCCUGUCAUGGCCGCCAGCAUUUCUUGAGGUGCAAGCCAAAAAACAUGGCCAAAUCAGCUGUUGCAGUUCCCCUUCAACCUUUUAUCUAGUUGUUUUCUAGACGUCUCCUGGUUCUGUAUGUUUAUAGUGUUCUAUGUGUGUUUUCUUUCUUUCCCACUUCUCAGCUGUAAUGCUCUCUUUUUGAGUGUGGGUUCCUUAUACUUUAUCUUGCUUUAUCUUGGCCAGGUCGCAGUUGUAAAUUAGAACUUGUUCUCAACCCGCAUACCUG